rnacentral:rRNA from 1 species
UACGUAGGGUGCAAGCGUUGUCCGGAAUUAUUGGGCGUAAAGAGCUCGUAGGCGGUUUGUUGCGUCGGCUGUGAAAUCCCGAGGCUCAACCUCGGGUCUGCAGUCGAUACGAGCAAACUAGAGUGUUGCAGGGGAGACUGGAAUUCCUGGUGUAGCGGUGAAAUGCGCAGAUAUCAGGAGGAACACCCGUAGCGAAGGCGGCACUCUGGGCCGAUUCUGACACUGAGGAGCGAAAGCGUGGGGAGCGAACAGG